UACAGAGGGGGCAAGCGUUAUUCGGAAUUAUUGGGCGUAAAGGGCGCGUAGGCGGCCAUUCAAGUGACGGGUGAAAGCCCUCGGCUUAACCGAGGAACUGCCUGUCAAACUGCAUGGCUUGAGACCGGGAGAGGUGAGUGGAAUUCCCAGUGUAGCGGUGAAAUGCGUAGAUAUUGGGAGGAACACCAGUGGCGAAGGCGGCUCACUGGACCGGUACUGACGCUGAUGCGCGAAAGCGUGGGGAGCAAACAGG
rnacentral:rRNA from 1 species